GGGGCAAAUAACUUUCUCUAUUAUUCUUACUCCUGAAACAAAAUCGAACAGCACCAGUAAUCGCCUCCUCUCUCUCCAUUCCUUUCUUCACCACCGAAAUCAAAAUCCAUGCUCAUCCUUAUCAAUUUCCCUAGCAUAAACUUCGAGUAAUCUGUACUUAAUUUCUAAUUUAGGGUUCAGAGUUUUGAUUUGAUUAAAUCACUUCAGAAACUGUAACCCUAAAUUGGAAUUGGGUGAAUAGAUUAUAUCACUUCAGAAGUAUCUUCACAAAUACUUCCAGAUUGGUUUGGUUAUUAAACUCAUCCUCUUCACUUCAGGUAACGUUUGAUUAACUGUUUGUAUUUUUGUAAAUGCCUAAUCGAUGGAACCACCACCAACAACAACAUCGUUCUCCACCUUCUACACCGUUAGUUAACUGUCUGUAUUUUUCUAUCACCAAACUCUAAAUUAGAAAUUGGGUGUGGAUUGAAUUUGUUGAAAUGAUAGGAUUGAAUUGGUUGAAAUGAUAAGAUUGGAUUGAUUGAAUAGGUUGGAUUGAUUUGAUGGUAGGCUUUCAUUGAUUCAAGUUUGUGAACAUCUCCUGUUUGUGUAAAUGUCCAAGUGAUACCAUUGUUGAACUGCAUAACAUCUUCUAUUACUGAUCUAGCUCGAGUUCGGGAGCUAACAGAGACUGAUACUGAAAAAGAAAGGCGGCUGCGUCGUGCUCAAUAUAGGGCAAAACUAGAUUCGAUUACCGAAUGAGAAAGACAGGAGCGCAAUGAGCGACGUCGUUUGCUUAUAGCGCAAGAAUUAGUGCAGCAAAUCGCCAACUAGAUGACCAUGAAACCAGUUGUAGGCUUACUGGAUUCAAUGACAUAUCUUUAGUAAAUGCUCACAAAGAAGGUUCGUUUAAAUCUCUGUAUGGGGGAUGGAGUCUAAUUCACUAUUUCCAUAGGAAUCUUUAUUUCCUGGUGAAACUCAAGCAACUGUAUUUGCUAUCUUUAAUGUACAAGUUUUGAUGCAAGGGAAAAGAAAAGGCAACUUAGAAGUGUUUCAGCAACUCCAAAAACAAGGCAGAUUAUUUCAUGUGUCCAUGCCAUGGGAAGGUAGCAAAAUUGUUCAGCAAACCGCUGGUGGUCUUCGAUUCCUCCGGAGAUGCAACAAUUUCAGUUUGCUACAAGUGCUGCUUUCUCAAUGAUAGUCUAUGCUGACUAUUUUACUACUGCUGGGAAGUUUGUUCAGUGGCCUCACUACAAAUGAGCUUCAUAAUUCCACGCUUUGUUGCACUAAAGGUCAUAUUGGCCCGUCAUCUUCUGCUAAGGGGAUCUGCCAGUUUCGAUAAAGGCGUGUCAUCUUCUCAACUAAUAAUCAGUGAAUUAGUGUGUGCCGCUUACUUUACUUCCAUGUACACAUAUAUGUGUUCGUAUAAAAAUUAUUGUAAUUUUGGUGUAAUGUCCAUGUAACAUCUUUUGGAAGAUAAUACAACUUCUUUGGGUU